GCCCAGGUGGCGGAAUUGGUAGACGCGCACGUUUCAGGUGCGUGUGUCGUAAGACGUGCAGGUUCGAGUCCUGUUCUGGGCA
rnacentral:tRNA from 1 species